GAAAAGGCUCUUUUCAGAGCCACCCACGAUGUCAUAAAGAGUUGAGU
rfam:Phaethon lepturus contig85472, whole genome shotgun sequence.